rnacentral:tRNA from 1 species
AACGCUUUAAGUUAAUUAAACUAAUAGCCUUCAAAGCUAUAAAUAAAGACAAAAAUUUUUAAGCCUUA